UACGUAGGGGGCAAGCGUUGUCCGGAUUUAUUGGGCGUAAAGAGCGUGUAGGCGGCUUGGUAGGUCUGCUGUGAAAACUCGGGGCUCAACCCCGAGACGUCGGUGGAAACCACCUGGCUAGAGUCCGGAAGAGGAGAGUGGAAUUCCUGGUGUAGCGGUGAAAUGCGCAGAUAUCAGGAAGAACACCCGUGGCGAAGGCGGCUCUCUGGGACGGUACUGACGCUGAGACGCGAAAGCGUGGGGAGCGAACAGG
rnacentral:rRNA from 1 species